UCAGGACGAACGCUGGCGGCGUGCUUAACACAUGCAAGUCGAACGGUAAGGCCCUUCGGGGUACACGAGUGGCGAACGGGUGAGUAACACGUGGGUGAUCUGCCCUGCACUUUGGGAUAAGCCUGGGAAACUGGGUCUAAUACCGAAUAGGACUCCGGACUUCACGGUCUGGGGUGGAAAGCUUUUGCGGUGUGGGAUGGGCCCGCGGCCUAUCAGCUUGUUGGUGGGGUAAUGGCCUACCAAGGCGACGACGGGUAGCCGGCCUGAGAGGGUGUCCGGCCACACUGGGACUGAGAUACGGCCCAGACUCCUACGGGAGGCAGCAGUGGGGAAUAUUGCACAAUGGGCGCAAGCCUGAUGCAGCGACGCCGCGUGGGGGAUGACGGCCUUCGGGUUGUAAACCUCUUUCAGUAGGGACGAAGCGCAAGUGACGGUACCUACAGAAGAAGCACCGGCCAACUACGUG
rnacentral:rRNA from 1 species